GCACAGUGAGGGAUGUGAGGGCCAUCUGUCACCCCACUGAUCACCAAGGUUGAUUUGGCUAACCUGGCUGACUAGGCGGGUGUCGCCUUCCUCCCUCAGCAGUCCAUAUGCGUCCCUCCCAAAGCUGCGUGCUCGGUCGAAGAGGACGACCACCCCCAAUAGAGGAGGACCGUUCCUCGGUCAAGGGUAUAUGAGUAGCUGCGCUCCCCUGCUAGAACCUCCAAACAAGCUCUCAGGAGACAGCACAGUGAGAGCCACAGUCCUCUGCAGCAUGAGCUCUGCCUUUCCUG
rnacentral:snRNA from 1 species